CUUCCCAUUGCCAGCCUAAUGAACCUAUGUCCUAUGCUGACAUUCCACAAUCGUCCUAACUCCUAAGUCAACUCAACUUUCUCAACUUAGUUUCCCUGACAUUCGUCAUAAAAAUGCAAUUCCAUCUGAUAAAGUGGUCUGAAACUGUUCCCAAAAUGUCGUCUCUUGCUGCACGUACCGGCUUUGCGUUUCGUCACAUGUAGAAAUACUUCGCAACAGUAAAAAUGCUUAUCAUAGUGAACUCUGAGCUUCUUCAUUGCAGUCCAAUGCGCUGUGCAGUGCGAUUUGUUGCAGCCAGCUGGCAAAAGGUGUUCCUCUUGCAGGCUUGCUACCUGUACUGUUUGUAGUUUACGUCACAUACAGAAACACUUCCAAACAAUUAAAAGAUUAACAGCCUCUUAAAGGUCUGAGCCUCUUUGUUGCAGUCCAAUGUGUACAUGAAUUUUGUGCAGCCAGCUAGUGAAUGGUGUGGUGAGCUGUUGCAUGCAGACUGUGGUGCUGGUGUCGUUCGUUCAUUUAACUAUGGACCGUUCAGUCGUUCGUUUAUCGUAAGAAAUCUGUCACUUGUCGUAGGUGUGUAAAAUUGUGUCUACCAGGUGGCAAAGUAGGUUAGCAUUUAGUUCUUGAUGUCGGAGACAAGUGACAUCUUAUUUUGUGCCUCUAAAUAAGUUCUUUUGUGGAAAGAACUUGUAAAGAGUUGUAAACUUUUGUUCAUUAAACAUAACAGAAAUUCCCUUGCUUUUUAAAAAGGUGAAAUGAAAUCUAGAGACCGGACGGUCUGUUUAAUAAAUAAACCAUAUACAAUAUU
rnacentral:lncRNA from 1 species